UGUCUGAUGUCAAUGUACAAGUUUUGCCAGGCUGUGAUCGAGGUGUUUGGCCCAGAGUACUUGAGGCAGCCAAUUGCCGCUGAUACAGAGAGAUUGUUAGCGACCAACGCAACUAGAGGCUUUCCAGGCAUGCUUGGCAGCAUAGAUUGUAUGCACUGGGAGUGGAAGAACUGUCCAUUUGCUUGGCAGGGCCAGUACAAAGGGCAUGUCAAGGCGUGCACUGUCAUAUUAGAAGCGGUGGCAUCACAGGAUCUUUGGAUAUGGCAUUCUUUCUUCGGCAUGGCAGGUUCUCACAAUGAUAUCGACGUGCUGCAGCGUUCUCCAGUCUUCGCGAGGCUUGCAGAAGGCCACUCCCCACCUGUCAACUUUGAGAUCAACGGCCACCAUUACAACAAGGGAUACUAUAUAGCAGAUGCUAUAUAUCCUCAGUGGUCAACUUUUGUGAAG
rnacentral:rRNA from 1 species